rfam:Angiostrongylus costaricensis strain Costa Rica genome assembly, scaffold: ACOC_scaffold0002531
GCUUCUGUAGCGCAGUCGGUAUCGCGUCAGUCUCAUAAUCUGAAGGUCGUGACUUCGAGCCUCACCGCGAGCA